UACGGAGGGGGCUAGCGUUGUUCGGAAUUACUGGGCGUAAAGCGCACGUAGGCGGCUUUGUAAGUUAGAGGUGAAAGCCCGGGGCUUAACUCCGGAAUUGCCUUUAAGACUGCAUCGCUUGAAUCCGGGAGAGGUGAGUGGAAUUCCGAGUGUAGAGGUGAAAUUCGUAGAUAUUCGGAAGAACACCAGUGGCGAAGGCGGCUCACUGGACCGGUAUUGACGCUGAGGUGCGAAAGCGUGGGGAGCAAACAGG
rnacentral:rRNA from 1 species